GUUUCUAACAUACGGCGUCUUAAUGCUGCGAGCCUUGAUUCCCGUGCGAGCUGAAGCUGCCUUAUUAUUUCCCGACACCUUUCCAAAUGCAUACGAAAUCGUUCUCCAUUAGCUUUGUUUCGUUUGGCGAGAUGUGGAAUGCUUCCCUCCGGUCUCGAUUGAGCUGAAGCUGCCUUAUUCGUUCCCGAAACCUUUCUAAAUGCAUACGGAAUCGUUCUCCAUUAGCUUUGUUUCGUUCGGCGAGGAUGCGGAAUGCCUCCCUCUGGUCUCUAUUGAAUUGACGCGUCGUCGUUGCUCCGUCG
rnacentral:lncRNA from 1 species